rnacentral:rRNA from 1 species
UCGAGAAUCUUCGGCAAUGGGCGCAAGCCUGACCGAGCGACGCCGCGUGCGGGAUGACGGCCUUCGGGUUGUAAACCGCUGUCAGUGGGGAGGAAAUGCGUGGGGGUUCUCCCCUGCGUUUGACCUAUCCGCAGAGGAAGGGUGGGCUAAGUCCGUGCCAGCAGCCGCGGUAAGACGGACCACCCGAACGUUAUUCGGAAUCACUGGGCUUAAAGGGUGCGUAGGCGGUGCGGUAAGUCGGGUGUGAAAUCCCCCAGCUCAACUGGGGAAUUGCGCCUGAAACUGCCGUGCUCGAGGGAGACAGAGGUGAGCGGAACUGAUGGUGGAGCGGUGAAAUGCGUUGAUAUCAUCAGGAACACCGGUGGCGAAAGCGGCUCACUGGGUCUCUUCUGACGCUCAGGCACGAAAGCUAGGGGAGCAAACGG